rnacentral:rRNA from 1 species
AUUGAACGCUGGCGGCAGGCCUAACACAUGCAAGUCGAACGGUAACAGGAAUCAGCUUGCUGAUUUGCUGACGAGUGGCGGACGGGUGAGUAAUGUCUGGGAAACUGCCUGAUGGAGGGGGAUAACUACUGGAAACGGUAGCUAAUACCGCAUAACGUCGCAAGACCAAAGAGGGGGACCUUCGGGCCUCUUGCCCUCGGAUGUGCCCAGAUGGGAUUAGCUAGUAGGUGGGGUAAAGGCUCACCUAGGCGACGAUCCCUAGCUGGUCUGAGAGGAUGACCAGCCACACUGGAACUGAGACACGGUCCAGACUCCUACGGGAGGCAGCAGUGGGGAAUAUUGCACAAUGGGCGCAAGCCUGAUGCAGCCAUGCCGCGUGUAUGAAGAAGGCCUUCGGGUUGUAAAGUACUUUCAGCGGGGAGGAAGGGAGUAAAGUUAAUACCUUUGCUCAUUGACGUUACCCGCAGAAGAAGCACCGGCUAACUCCGUG